rnacentral:piRNA from 1 species
UGGCAGUGUCUCAAAUGAAGAUGGGCUG